rnacentral:tRNA from 1 species
GUUAAGUUAAAAUAAUUUAAUUUAAAAUGUUGAUUUUGUAAAUC